rnacentral:rRNA from 1 species
UACGAAGGGGGCUAGCGUUGUUCGGAAUUACUGGGCGUAAAGCGCGUGUAGGCGGGGCUUUAAGUCAGGGGGGAAAUGCCAAGGCUCAACCUUGGAACUGCCUUUGAUACUGGAGAUCUUGAGUCCGGGAGAGGUGAGUGGAACUGCGAGUGUAGAGGUGAAAUUCGUAGAUAUUCGCAAGAACACCAGUGGCGAAGGCGGCUCACUGGCCCGAUACUGACGCUGAGGUGCGAAAGCGUGGGGAGCAAACAGG